GAUGAACGCUAGCUACAGGCUUAACACAUGCAAGUCGAGGGGAAACGACAUCGAAAGCUUGCUUUUGAUGGGCGUCGACCGGCGCACGGGUGAGUAACGCGUAUCCAACCUGCCCACCACUUGGGGAUAACCUUGCGAAAGUAAGACUAAUACCCAAUGAUAUCCCACGAAGACAUCUGAAUGGGAUUAAAGAUUUAUCGGUGAUGGAUGGGGAUGCGUCUGAUUAGCUUGUUGGCGGGGUAACGGCCCACCAAGGCAACGAUCAGUAGGGGUUCUGAGAGGAAGGUCCCCCACAUUGGAACUGAGACACGGUCCAAACUCCUACGGGAGGCAGCAGUGAGGAAUAUUGGUCAAUGGGCGAGAGCCUGAACCAGCCAAGUAGCGUGCAGGAAGACGGCCCUAUGGGUUGUAAACUGCUUUUAUAAGGGAAUAAAGUGGGUCACGUGUGACUUUUUGCAUGUACCUUAUGAAUAAGGACCGGCUAAUUCCGUG
rnacentral:rRNA from 1 species